UACAGAGGUCUCAAGCGUUGUUCGGAAUUACUGUGCGUAAAGCGCACGUAGGCGGACUAUUAAGUCAGGGGUGAAAUCCCGGGGCUCAACCCCGGAACUGCCUUUGAUACUGGUAGUCUCGAGUCCGGAAGAGGUGAGUGGAAUUCCGAGUGUAGAGGUGAAAUUCGUAGAUAUUCGGAGGAACACCAGUGGCGAAGGCGGCUCACUGGUCCGGUACUGACGCUGAGGUGCGAAAGCGUGGGGAGCAAACAGG
rnacentral:rRNA from 1 species